UACGUAGGGUGCGAGCGUUGUCCGGAAUUAUUGGGCGUAAAGGGCUCGUAGGCGGUUUGUCGCGUCGGAUGUGAAAACCCAGGGCUCAACCCUGGGCCUGCAUUCGAUACGGGCAGACUAGAGUAUGGCAGGGGAGACUGGAAUUCCUGGUGUAGCGGUGAAAUGCGCAGAUAUCAGGAGGAACACCGGUGGCGAAGGCGGGUCUCUGGGCCAAAAACUGACGCUGGAGGAGCGAAAAGCGUGGGGAGCGAAACAGG
rnacentral:rRNA from 1 species